rnacentral:lncRNA from 1 species
AGUUUAAACAGAACCUGAAAAUAGACAUAACCGGUGAACAACAUUUCUUAAGAAUAGUUCUGCUUGGCUGUUACAAUUAAACGGAGUUCUUGGCAACUGAAAGUGAAGCCAGGAGAUUGGAAACAGCUCAACGUGCUGAUCUGAGCCGACCACUUCGGGGGCUCCAGAGCGGAAUGUAGGUCGUGCUGAGUGAGGUAGGCUGGGGCCCCCAAAGGUGCCAGGCCAAAUUCCUGGCUCCCAGAGGAAGCCUGUCCAGCACCCCACACCCAC